rnacentral:rRNA from 1 species
GGGGACCCGCAAGCGGUGGAUGAUGUGGAUUAAUUCGAUGCAACGCGAAAAACCUUACCUACCCUUGACAUGUACGGAAGCCCGGAGAGAUUCGGGCGUGCUCGAAAGAGAGCCGUAACACAGGUGCUGCAUGGCUGUCGUCAGCUCGUGUCGUGAGAUGUUGGGUUAAGUCCCGCAACGAGCGCAACCCUUGUCAUUAGUUGCUACAUUCAGUUGAGCACUCUAAUGAGACUGCCGGUGACAAACCGGAGGAAGGUGGGGAUGACGUCAAGUCCUCAUGGCCCUUAUGGGUAGGGCUUCACACGUCAUACAAUGGUACAUACAGAGGGCCGCCAACCCGCGAGGGGGAGCUAAUCCCAGAAAGUGUAUCGUAGUCCGGAUUGCAGUCUGCAACUCGACUGCAUGAAGUUGGAAUCGCUAGUAAUCGCGGAUCAGCAUGUCGCGGUGAAUACGUUCCCGGGUCUUGUACACACC